rnacentral:rRNA from 1 species
UUAGCGGCGGACGGGUGAGUAACACGUGGGUAACCUGCCUGUAAGACUGGGAUAACUCCGGGAAACCGGGGCUAAUACCGGAUGCUUGUUUGAACCGCAUGGUUCAGACAUAAAAGGUGGCUUCGGCUACCACUUACAGAUGGACCCGCGGCGCAUUAGCUAGUUGGUGAGGUAACGGCUCACCAAGGCGACGAUGCGUAGCCGACCUGAGAGGGUGAUCGGCCACACUGGGACUGAGACACGGCCCAGACUCCUACGGGAGGCAGCAGUAGGGAAUCUUCCGCAAUGGACGAAAGUCUGACGGAGCAACGCCGCGUGAGUGAUGAAGGUUUUCGGAUCGUAAAGCUCUGUUGUUAGGGAAGAACAAGUGCCGUUCAAAUAGGGCGGCACCUUGACGGUACCUAACCAGAAAGCCACGGCUAACUACGUGCCAGCAGCCGCGGUAAUACGUAGGUGGCAAGCGUUGUCCGGAAUUAUUGGGCGUAAAGGGCUCGCAGGCGGUUUCUUAAGUCUGAUGUGAAAGCCCCCGGCUCAACCGGGGAGGGUCAUUGGAAACUGGGGAACUUGAGUGCAGAAGAGGAGAGUGGAAUUCCACGUGUAGCGGUGAAAUGCGUAGAGAUGUGGAGGAACACCAGUGGCGAAGGCGACUCUCUGGUCUGUAACUGACGCUGAGGAGCGAAAGCGUGGGGAGCGAACAGGAUUAGAUACCCUGGUAGUCCACGCCGUAAACGAUGAGUGCUAAGUGUUAGGGGGUUCGAAGUC